rnacentral:misc_RNA from 1 species
GAUGAAGAACGUAGCGAAAUGCGAUAAGUAAUGUGAAUUGCAGAAUUCAGUGAAACAUCGAAUCUUUGAACGCACAUUGCGCCCGCCAGUAUUCUGGCGGGCAUGCCUGUUCGAGCGUCAUUACAACCCUCAGGCCCCCGGGCCUGGCGUUGGGGAUCGGCGGAGCCCCCCGUGGGCACACGCCGUCCCCCAAAUGCAGUGGCGGUCCCGCCGCAGCUUCCAUCGCGUAGUAGCUAACACCUCGCGACUGGAGAGCGGCGCGGCCACGCCGUAAAACACCCAACUCUUCUGAAGUUGACCUCGAAUCAGGUAGGAAUACCCGCUGAACUUAAGCAUAUCAAUAAGCGGAGGA